UAUUCGAAGUAGUUUAUUAGAAAGCAAAUAACCUUCCAUAAAACGUAAGAAGUUGCAGCUUGUUUGCGACAAAUCGAAACAAUCAAUAGCAAAUGAGUGCUCUUAAGUAUUCGUCUAUCAUUUACACAAUGUGUUAUGUGUGUACAGUGUAUUGGCUAUUGGGAUAUUUUAUUUUCCUUGAAUGAAGUAAAUUAGACCAAUUAUUAUGUGUAAGUAGGUUAC